ensembl:lncRNA
CCCUUAUAUACAGGCAUAAACCACACACACACACACACACACUAAGCAGCCUUCUAGAAACGACUGUACACAGAUACCACACACAGGCGAUCACAGCCGCUCAAUUCCACUUCAUGUCCUCCACACGCACACGCACACACACACACACGCACACACGCACACACCGAGCGACGGACUGAGGAAAAGAGCCUAUAGACCCACCAGCCAUCGACGGCGGUGCCAUUAUACUCUGAGUUCGGGGAGACUGAGGGAAGCGAGCGAGUCAGGGGGGGAAAUGAUGCCAUAAUUAUUCUCUGGGGUCGAAGGGGACGAAAGGGAGCGCAGAGAAAAGCGGCCUGUCCGACCGCCGCGGUGGAUUCAGUCGAUAGCCGGCGGAGGCGGUUUCGAGAGCUAUUGAGAGCUAGAAAAUUUAAAUUUUGAAAACGGCCAAAGUAUCCCAGUUAGUCCUCUGACAAGCCAUCCAGACUUGGCGGACGAGACGCGCGUGCUAGGUGGCCCACCGACCGUUUGUGAAAAAUCCCCUUUCAGGAUUUUAUCUCGCGAACGGUUUCUCCUUUCUUUCAAUUAGGUCUCCGUCUCCUCCCUCCGCUCACCUGUUACCAUCCCCUCCUGCCUCCCCGUCUCCCCCCCCCGCUAUCUCCCCUCCUUUGUUGGCUCCUGUUAAUGAAAGGAUUAGUGUUGGGCUGCGUUCCCGACGAGGAAGAAAGGAAUAUGACUUGCCGAGGCAUUAAAGAAGAGCUUAAUUAUUUUAGAAUGUCAUUAAGAGGAUAAAAAGGUUUAAAAGUCUUAAGAAGGGCAAGGGGAGUGAAUGAAUUAGGAACUGAAAUGGGUGGAUGUUUUUUUUUCUGAACGCUACCACACAUGUCGACACAUUUAUACACGCAGCAGGCAGCAUACACAUCUCUGAACGCCGUAUUUGUAUAAAAAAAAAAGAGCAGCAACAUAAAUUAAAUGAAUCUUUUAAGAAAAAAAAAAAAGUUUACUAUUGAAACGCAUUAUGAAGCAAAUAUACUAACACAGAAUAUUAGCCUAUAGAGGUGCAAAGCCGAACAAACCUGUCCAGUGAUCUUUAAAGAAAAUAAAGAAAAGAAUAAAAAAAAAAAAAUGUCAUUUGUCUUUAUGAGAAACCAGAGGUUUAAUGGAUUUUUUAUCAAUUGUUAUUAUUUGAACAAUUCUGAUUGUUGUUAAUGUUAUUAUUAUGGCCGUUGGUAUUAUUACAAUUGUAAAUGUUAAAGAAACGUACACUUCCCAUGGUUUGUUUUCCGUUCCACUGUAGAGAAAUUGCUGUCUUUUUUCACUCUUACCUUUCCUCUCUCUUCGUCUUCUGUGCCUAGUCGUCUCUUCUCCUGUCCUUCACUCCCGUUUGGUUCAGAGUCUCAUGCGUAACUGUUGAUGUAUAGCUAACUAUUCUUUAUAGGGGAAAGAUACAAAGCACGAAAAAAUUAAAAAGAAUUCCAAAACAACCCCUGGGAUCCGACUGGUUUUUGGGUCUGUUCACUGUGCACAUGGUUCCGUCCAUGGGGGGCAGUGGAGCUCCAGCUGGGAGGACGAAGAUGUAGGAAACCGAGCCCGUCGUGGCAGCUCAAUUAGGACAAAUAAAAUAAACAGAAGGUUCCGCGGCGCCGCUAAUGAAUCACGGGCACAGACAGAAGUCGCGGGUUGAGACAGCAAAAUGUGACCCCGCCGUUGACUUCCGCACAAUCAAUACCCGAUUGUGUCGGGAGGCACUCAGCGUGUGCAUCCGCGUGCGGGCCUGGAUUUGAAAGCCGCUGGAGGUCGCCGGAGGGGACGGAUCGAUGGGUUUCUCUUCCGUCGGUGGCGAGGCGCCGCGGUCGCCGGUCAUAAAGACAGAUGGUCAAACGGCAAUCAAAGUAAUGGACUCGCCGGGCGCCACCGCCGUGAGUUGACACUCGAUAGACAUAUCUGGAGUUUAUGAUGACGCAGAGUUAGCGUUAGCAGCUCCCGCUAUCUGGGCCACCGUGGUGGAUCAGCAAUGAAGACGGAAAUGUCCUCUGUUCUGCUUCUCCUCACGGGAAGGAAGAGGAAAUAUUUCCUUUUAAAUCCUUUUUCACUAGACAAUAAAAACGACACAUUUUCAGCUGCUAGACGUGAUGAAGAACAUAGACGGUGAUCAUGGAAUCAAUCAAAGACACAAGCAGGAACGACAUUGGUAGCAGUUUAUUCCUCGACAUGUAAACGUGGGAACAUUGUCUCGCCAGUAAUGACAGCGAGAAGCCAGUGGACACAAGAAGCCAGUGGACAGGUAGAAGUCAGUGGACAGGUAGAAGUCAGUGGACAGCAAGAAGCCAGUGGACAGCAAGAAACCAGUGGACAGCAAGAAGCCAGUGGACAGGUAGAAGUCAGUGGACAGGUAGAAGCCAGUGGACAGAAAGAAGCCAGUGGACAGCAAGAAACCAGUGGACAGGUAGAAGUCAGUGGACAGAAAGAAGCCAGUGGACAGGUAGAAACCAGUGGACAGGUAGAAGUCAGUGGACAGGUAGAAGCCAGUGGACAGGUAGAAGCCAGUGGACAGGUAGAAGCCAGUGGACAGGUAGAAGUCAGUGGACAGAAAGAAGUCAGUGGACAGGUAGAAGCCAGUGGACAGGUAGAAGCCAGUGGACAGGUAGAAGUCAGUGGACAGAAAGAAGUCAGUGGACAGGUAGAAGCCAGUGGACAGCCGUCGCUCCCUCGUGCUACUUUCACCAUUUAACGCCCUGGAGCGUCUCUACGUGAGAUAAUUCCCGGUUUACGGCCCUUUUAUGGCGCUCGUAAUUCAUUUCUACGACUUGGCGCAGGCCGUCCAAAAACAAACUCUUCAUUUUUCUGCUGGAUUAGACACAGUUUUGUCCAUCUGUGAAAUCAACCCCCGGUGACCUCAGAACGGGGCACGCGGCUUGUAGUGCGCGGCGGCGUGGCACGAGGCAUUGAUUGUGGAGCCCGAGUGUGACCAGACCCACAACAAUCAGGGAGCAAAGAGAUUUACGGCCGAGAGAACAAUUGAAUCGGCAGAAGCCGGGGAUUUUUCUUUUUUUUUUACCCCCUUUAUCCUGAUUGAUCCAUAAAUAAUCAGAGUAAUGCACAUCCAACAAAUAGCAAAGCAAAAGAAAUCCAUGUGUAUUUUUUGAGUUCAUACAAAAUAGAUGAAAACAAGACAGCGGCUUUGAGAAUAAAUGUAAAAUAGUCACAGAAUCCGUGAAAAUGAUCAACUGACGAGAAUUGCGAGCGACUAAUUCAAAGCCACAGAGCAGAAAUUGAAAAAAAAACAAA